rnacentral:lncRNA from 1 species
CUCUGGGCCACCCGCCGGCUCCUCCACAGCAGCCGCGGGCACCGCCUGGGCUUGCGUGACACCAAGCACCCGCCCGGGCCGCGGGAGGAGGAAAUUCCCUACAAAAUAGCAAUGGUUCCGAGAAAAGGAUCACAACAAAAUAUUGAAUAAAUUCCCUUUUAAUUUAUUUGAUCAUUCCACAUUACGGGGCUAUGAAUUGCUCAAAUUUGAUAACAAGUACUCAAUUCAACUCAUUAGACUGUGACUUUGCCUGCUGAUCCCUGAGGAGCUGACGGUGAACGCCUGAAUGGGCAGCGUGCCAACUUCACAGCGCCAGGCAGGGGUGGGGAAAGAAGGAGGAGGAGGAGGAGGAAGAAGAGAGACGACAGGGAGGUGGGAAGAUGAGGAAGAAGAUUUCUGAGUGCAUAAAAAUGGACCCAAACUAUCUUCUGGUGAAGAAUCGAGAGCUGGCUCUGCAGUUGAGUGCUCGGUGAAGCUGCUGUGUUUGGGAACAUCACUUUUGCCAGGACGGACUUUCCUAGCUGUGUGCAGGAAAGAGAUGUUGCUGUGCCAUUCUACACAGGACCAAUUGGAGUGCACUAAAGAGAUUCCCCAGGAAGGUGUUGAGCCAGAAUCGGUUGGGUUCUUCCCAG